UGUCUCCUCCAACACCUCUCAAGGUUUGGAUUCAGCCCGCAACGAAAGUUAGCGGGCUUUUUUUU
rnacentral:ncRNA from 1 species